rnacentral:lncRNA from 1 species
UGUGAGAUCCUGAACAGAGGACUCAGUUAAACUGUACCUGGACUCCUGACCCAUAGGACUGUGCGAUAAUAAAUGGGUGUUGUCUUAAGCCACUAAUUACAUGUCAAUUUGUUACAGAGCAAUAGAAAACGACCACAGACUUUGGUACUUGGAGUGGAGUGCCACUGUAACAAAUGACUAAAAUGUGAAAGGGGGCUUUGAAAUCAGGUACUGAAUUGAGGCUGGAAGAAUUUUGAGGAGCAUGAUAGAGAAAGCCCAAAUUGCCUUAAACAGACUUUCAGUAGAAAUAAGGACUUUAAGGACGCUGCUGGUGAGGGCUCAGAAGGAAGUAAGGAACAGAUUAUUGGAAAGUAGAGGAAGGGGGACUGUAGCGUUGUAGUUAGCAGGAAAUUUGAGAUUUGAGUCCUUGUUCUGAAUUAUUUGAAAGAUGUUAUUCAGACUUACCAUAGUGUGCAAACAACUAUUUAUUCGGAAUGUGGUAGCAUUCCAAUAAGACAUCUUUUGGAGGCAGGAAAAAGGUAUAGAGUAAUUUUUUACACUUGCAGAAGGGAAAACUGCAGCCAUAUUUAAGUUUUAAGUCACAAAAUUUUUGGUAAUUUGUUACAUCAAUAAUAGGAAAUUAAUAAAGAAGACAUGCUGAGCACUACCCCAAAAGUAGAGACAUUCACUGCACUGUCAUUGUUUAUUUUGAAACUGUAAACACAGGGAUAUGUCGUACCAGAGGACUGAAGACAUAACCUGCAUACAAAGUGAGCUUGAAUGGUUGUAAACCAUUUUUAAUUUACUCUCCACAGGAACUCUAUAGCUGAGUUUGUGUGUGUUGGGUGGUAUUGGUAUAACUGGAAGUUCUCUAAAUUUACCUUUAUGGACGAUAGGAUUCUUAUUAAAGAGAAUGUGCUAAUUUGAAGCUGACGUAUACAUAUUAAUAAAACUCAACAGUAACUUCAUCGAUUGUAUAGAGCUUGGACCAAGAAAAUAUUUUUCUGGGGAAAAGUAUUUUAUCAUUAACAUUGUUUAAAAUUGCCAGAGCAUGAUGAAAAUUUAAGCAGACAAAGUUGGUUUUUCUGUUUUUAAAUUUUCUACAGUCUUUGAUAGAAUGAUUUAUUUUUUUGAGACAAGAGUCUUACUCUGUCGCCCAGGCUGGAGUGCAGUGGCAUGAUCUCGGCUUACUGCCAUCUUCGC